AUGGGGAUCCAUAGGGGGUCCCCACUACUCGUGAACCAUUAACAUUAAUAACCUGAUUCCAGGGCCGUCCCCAUACCCCGUCCGGUAUGGGCGCCAAAAUCAUGAACCUCAAUACCCCGUCCGGUAUGAGGGUGAAAUGGGCCGUCCCCAUACCCCGUCCGAUAUGGGCGCCAAAACCAUAAAUCUCAAUACCCCGCCCAGUAUGAGGGUGAAACGGGCCAUCCCCAUAACCCGUCCGGUAUGGGCGCCAAAACAUAUAAGGUCUCCAUACCCCGUCCGAUAUGAGAGACCACGUUCCCGGUAGGGUUCCUUACAGACCCGGUCCGUCCACCAUCUCCCAGGAUAUCUAGUUAGGCUGUCCACAUUAUCCAUUUGUCAAUUCACAUAACCUUUUUUCCAUUUUCCUUAGUCUCAAUUAUCCAGUCAAACAUAAACACGUAAACAAGUAAUGAACACCAAACAAACAACACAACAUCGGGUUCACCAUAAUUCAAACCAUAAUAAAUGAAAUCGGGAUUCAUGUAUACGAAACCAUAAAAUAACCACAUCAAAUACCAUACUGCAUUUAAAAUUGUAAAAUAGAUCAAACAACAACUGACCGACAAAUACACCAGAUUCGGGCUCCAUUAGAAACCUUAAGCAAUUAUUCACAUCCAUUAAUUUCACGAAUACCGUUUUAUCAUUUAUUGAACUUUAAUACCGUGAUAGGAAAUAGGGUGAGAAAUUCUUACUUAUUUCAGGGUCUGAAAUUGGCUCUACACUGCGCCUACGGGCUGUCCCUAGAU
rnacentral:lncRNA from 1 species